CUACUGCUGGGGCAGGCGGUGGGAACAGAUGUAGAGAGGGUAAACUUUAUUACAAGGAAUGAGGAAAAUGGAACUGAUUUUGAUAAGGGCCAUUGUCAAUCAUUAGUUCACAUGACAGCCAUGAAGGCACACAAUGAGCCUCACGUAAGCAUCAGGUACUACAUUUAGGAAGAGAGAUGGUGUGAGGAUGCAGUGGCCAGAAGAGGCAGCCCAGGGAAGAUCUGAGGUGAACCCUCUGGUUGGAAAGCCUUGGCAAAUUGGAGGAAUGAAAAGAAAAAAGAGUAAAUCUACAACAAGGAUCAGCAAACUCCAGUCUACAGGCCAAAUCCAGCCUGCUGCCUGUUUAUGUCAAUAAAGUUUUAUUGGAAC